rnacentral:lncRNA from 1 species
CUACUGCAUGCCUAGACACAGGAAGUCCACUCAAUUACAGGUCAGUGCUGAACAGCAGAAACAAUCAAGAGCUGGUGCCCUAGUCUGCACAGGCUGCCCUCACAAAAUACCACAAACUAGUGGCUUAAAUAGCAGAAUUUUUACUUUCUCAUAGUUCUGGAGACUGAAAGUCCUCAGAGAGGUAGUUCUCCCAAGGUGUCUCUCCACAGCUUGCAAAUGACCACCAUGUCCUCAUGUGACCUUUGCUCUGUGAAUGUAUUUUUGACGUCUCUGGUGUCCUAAUCUCUUCUUAUAAAAACUCCAGACAGAUUAAGGCCGACUCUAGGUGGGUCUCAUUUUAACUUAAUUACCUCUUUGAAAGCGCUUGGAAAUACUGGGGGUUAGGGCUUUAACACAAGAAUGGAGGUAAGACGGGCAUGGACACUACUCAGCCUGUUACAGCUGGGAAGACAAUUUGAUCCUUUGGCCAAGGUCAUGGGACCUUAACUUCAUCCCUCUAAACUGGAGCUGGAAGGUUUCUUUUCCCUAGCAACAUCAGGAUUCACAAAAAGUCUAAAUCCUGAAUGCCCAUGGAGUGUGGUGGAGGAAGAACACUGGGGCAAAUUCCCACAUGGGGAUCCAACAGUCCACCACCUGUAGAACAAUGAUGGCUUGUGUGGACCAAGGAAGCAACUGUGUCCAAUUGCCCAGACUGUUUGCUAAAAACACUGAAAAGGAAACAUCUGCUUAUACUGUAUUUUUUUCUUUUUUUCUCCCCUCUGAAUGCUUUAAAAGUGAAUAAAGUGGAUUUCAGUAACCCUGCCACACAAAGCUGGAUUCAUGCUUUCAGUAAUCCCCUUGGUGCUUGUCACAUUCAUUCUUGCUCUGAGGCACUUCAAACACUGUUGAUUUCUUCUUCCAUGAAUCUGAAUGAAGAGAUAAUCCUGGCCCAAACCCAAGACAGAAUAGUGGCAGACUUUGGAUGCAAAGUCAAUGACUUAAAAAAAAAAUCUCUGAUCACCUGCUGAUUAUCCAAAUGCUAGUUUUCUAGGGUGAACAUGACCUGUUUUCCUCCCCAUCUCCCUCCUGGUGCUCAUUCUGUGAUGGAAGUUGGGCUGGCGUGCACAUAUGUAGACCAAGACAGCUGCAUGAAUGGAUUUGUUCCCUGCUGCUGGGGGAGCUGAUGCCAGUUCUAAGCUCAGCCCUAAAGAGCUGUAGUUCAAGUGCCUUUAAUGUUCCAGAUCAGUGAUGCCCAGGGGGUAGCUGAACUUUCAUUUCCUUACCAUCGUAUUCUAUUCUAAACAGAAUGGGACCACUCACCCGUGUCCUGGAGAAAGCAAGAUGGAGCUCCUCAUUUUACCAAACAACCUGCUUUCCUCCCCUCUCACGGUCACAGCAAAUCAUACCAGUUUCUUCCUGAAUGUAGAAAACCUCUAACUUGGGCUUAGAGGUACAGCCUGCACCGUUUCCAGUUU